AAGCAGAGCAAGCGCGAAGGUUGGGGGCGAGGUGGGAGGUUGGGAUGGCACGGGUGCCUGGACAAAGACGUGACAUCUAAGAUUUCCCUUUGAAACUUUUUGCUGGUCUGCACUCCACCACCACUUCGAGGUCCCGCGCACACGCCCCCGCGCGCACCCACCUCCUCCGGAGUGUACCCGCACGUGCCCUCGCUCUGGCCCCCGCCUCCACCCACUGGCACCUCUCCCCGCACCACACCUCCGCUUGCGCCCACCUUACCCUCAGAGGCCCGCGUCUCUAUCUCCCUUUAGAUCCCGUUGCCCGCGCUCUCCUUUCCCUUUUCUGUCGCUUUAAUCUCAUUCAGCAGAAGCGCUCCCCUGUUUCACCGAGGGCAUGCCCUUAGUGCUUUAGGGGCCUGUAUUUUUAAAGACCCGACAAACUGGGAAAUUGACCGAGUUCUGUUUCUCCCCGCCCCGGCCCACCUUCUGUUUACUUUAGCCACGUGGGCUGAGUAGAAGGGGGCGUCUCACAGAUUGAAAUAGGUUUCUCACUAGUGACCCCCUACUUCUCGCUAGGAGGAAAUAAACCUGCACUUUCAAAUGCUUAAGUUGCCUCUCGUAAGAGCCCUUACUUUGAAGUAGUUUCCCCCCGUACAAUUAAGUAAUGAAGAAACCGACCGAUACAGAGCUAAUUCCGAAUGACGGAUGCUUGAUUUUCCCUGACAUUCGGAGCUCUGUAACUAUGCUCUUCCUUUGACCGGAGUUUUUCUCUAUUGCCGAGUAGUGUUACUUCCCCCUUCUAAUGCUCCUUUUUCUAAUCAUCAACUUUUUAUUUGAAGAUGAGAUGAAGAACAAAGCCCAUAUGAGUCAUAAGAGACAGUUUAAUCAGUCCGUGACCAAAAUCAAACAGAGUAAACUGUGUCAUCAUGGAGAUCUGCCCAGGAAAUCCCCAAAAUACAGAAGGAUCAGAAGUAGAUGGAAAUAAUGUCAUAGAACGUCUCUCACAACUGUGUUAUAAGAAUGACAGGGAAGCUACAGGUUACAACAGAUUUGUGAACUCAGCCAAGCACAGUGGUGGCAGGGCCUAGCUGCUACAAAGAAGACAUGUUUUAGACAAAUACUCAUGUGUAUGGGCAAAAAACUCGAGGACUGUAUUUGUGACUAAUUGUGUAACAGGGUAUUUUAGUUCCUGUUCUGUGGAAAGUGUAAAGCAUUCCAACAAAGGGUUUUAAUGUAGAUUUUUUUUUGCACCCAUGCUUUGAUUGCUAAAUGUAAUAGUCAGAUCGUGACGCUGAAUAAAUGUCUUUUUCUAAAAAAAAA
rnacentral:lncRNA from 10 species